GACAGAGGCCUCGAGCGUUAGGCGGAAUCACUGGGCUUAAAGCGUGUGUAGGCGGAUCGUUAAGUGCCUUGUGAAAUCCCACGGCUUAACUGUGGAACGGCUGGGCAUACUGGCGGUCUUGAGCCAUCUAGGGGCGACUGGAACAAACGGUGGAGCGGUGAAAUGCGUAGAUAUCGUUUGGAACGCCAAUGGUGAAAACAGGUCGCUGGGGAUGAGCUGACGCUGAGACACGAAAGCCAGGGGAGCGAACGGG
rnacentral:rRNA from 1 species